rnacentral:rRNA from 1 species
CCUANGGGAGGCUGCAGUCGAGAAUCAUUCGCAAUGGGCGCAAGCCUGACGAUGCGACGCUGUGUGAGUGAAGAAGGCCCUCGGGUUGUAAAGCUCUUUCGCUUGGGAACAAGGAAGAUCGGCUAAUACCCGGUUAACUUGAGCGUACCAGGUAAAGAAGCACCGGCUAAUUCCGUGCCAGCAGCUGCGGUAAUACGGAAGGUGCAAGCGUUAAUCGGAAUCAUUGGGCGUAAAGGGCGCGUAGGCGGGACAGUAAGUCAGGUGUGAAAUUCCGGAGCUCAACUCCGGAGCUGCACUUGAAACUACUAUCCUAGAGGGUAGACGGAGAAAGCGGAAUUCCAUGUGUAGCGGUGAAAUGCGUAGAUACAUGGAGGAACACCGGUGGCGAAGGCGGCUUUCUAGUUUAUUCCUGACGCUAAAGCGCGAAAGCAAGGGGAGCAAACAGGAUUAGAUACCCCGNUANUC